GUGAGAAAGACUCACUGUUGUGAGGACCAUUGUACAGAGAAAGAAGAGCCCAGACUCAGCUAGCUUCCUGAGAGGCAUGCAGGGCUCACCGGUUUCUGGCAUCUUGCAUGAAUUCUGCUGGGAACGGAAGUGGGUCCUAUUCAGUCACUCAUCCAUCUAGCCAUCCUUCCAGGAAGAGGCCUCUGCCUUGUGCCAGCGGUUCCUGUCUGUGGGCAUGCUUGCCUUCUUAGACUCACUGGGAGGCCAUGGAAGCUGUGCUACUGGUCAGUCCUGCAAUUGUAUGCUCUAGCCAGUGGGCAUGACAGUACAGGCAAGCUGCUGUGACCACCAGCCAUGAGGGGUGCUUCUCUCUGACCAUGCAAGGCAGUGAAACUAAGGCAUGGACGGAUGCCUUUGCUGUGCUCCUGCAAUGAAGUAUUUACUCACCACAUCAACUUGUGUGACUCAGCUAAAGAGUCCACACUCAGGCUCAGCUGUCUCUUCCUCCAGUGCCCCAGCCCCUCAAUGCACUCCAUAAUAAGCUCAAUUAUACAUCUUGACUAUGCCUCCCCAGUGCCCAGACUGUGAUCUGUCU